rnacentral:rRNA from 1 species
GAUGAACGCUAGCGGCAGGCCUAAUACAUGCAAGUCGAGGGAGAUUGUUGGAUUCGUCUGACAUGAAACCGGCGCACGGGUGCGUAACACGUAUGCAACCUACCUUUAACUGGGGUAUAGCUCAGAGAAAUCUGAAUUAAUCCCCCAUAAGACUACGACAUGGCAUCAUGAUGUAGUUAAAGCUCCGGCGGUUAAGGAUGGCAUGCGGUACAUUAGCUAGUUGGUGAGGUAAUGGCUCACCAAGGCUACGAUGUAUAGGGGUCGUGAGAGGAUGAUCCCCCACCACUGGUACUGAGACACGGACCAGACUCCUACGGGAGGCAGCAGUAGGGAAUAUUGGUCAAUGGACGCAAGUCUGAACCAGCCAUGCCGCGUGAAGGAUGAAGGCCCUAUGGGUCGUAAACUUCUUUAUUA